CCAGGUCCAGACAUAAUGAGGAUUGACAGAUUGAUAGCUUU
rnacentral:rRNA from 14 species